rnacentral:rRNA from 1 species
AUUGAACGCUGGCGGUAUGCUUAACACAUGCAAGUCGAACGGAAACGAUACUAGCUUGCUAGUAGGCGUCGAGUGGCGGACGGGUGAGUAACGCGUAGGAAUCUGCCCGAUAGUGGGGGAUAGCCCGAAGAAAUUCGGAUUAAUACCGCAUAAUCUAUUCGUAGUAAAGUGGGGGACUUUCGAGCCUCACGCUAUCAGAUGAGCCUGCGUAAGAUUAGCUUGUUGGUAGGGUAAAAGCCUACCAAGGCGACGAUCUUUAGCUGGUCUGAGAGGAUGAUCAGCCACAUCGGGACUGAGACACGGCCCGAACUCCUACGGGAGGCAGCAGUGGGGAAUAUUGGACAAUGGGGGCAACCCUGAUCCAGCAAUACCGCGUGUGUGAAGAAGGCCUGAGGGUUGUAAAGCACUUUCAAUUGUGAAGAAAAGUUAGCGGUUAAUAACCGUUAGCCUUGACGUUAACUUUAGAAGAAGCACCGGCUAACUCCGUGCCAGCAGCCGCGGUAAUACGGAGGGUGCAAGCGUUAAUCGGAAUUACUGGGCGUAAAGCGUGCGUAGGCGGUUUAUUAAGUCAGAUGUGAAAGCCCCGGGCUUAACCUGGGAACUGCAUUUGAAACUGGUCAACUAGAGUAUGGUAGAGGAAAGUGGAAUUUCUGGUGUAGCGGUGAAAUGCGUAGAUAUCAGAAGGAACAUCAAUGGCGAAGGCAGCUUUCUGGACCAAUACUGACGCUGAGGUACGAAAGCGUGGGUAGCAAACAGGAUUAGAUACCCUGGUAGUCCACGCCGUAAACGAUGAUAACUAGCCGUUGGGGGGGAUUUACCCUUUAGUGGCGAAGCUAACGCGUUAAGUUAUCCGCCUGGGGAGUACGGCCGCAAGGUUAAAACUCAAAGGAAUUGACGGGGACCCGCACAAGCGGUGGAGCAUGUGGUUUAAUUCGAUGCAACGCGAAGAACCUUACCUGGUCUUGACAUCCUGCGAACUUUCUAGAAAUAGACUGGUGCCUUCGGGAACGCAGUGACAGGUGCUGCAUGGCUGUCGUCAGCUCGUGUCGUGAGAUGUUGGGUUAAGUCCCGUAACGAGCGCAACCCCUAUCCUUAUUUGCCAGCACAUCAUGGUGGGAACUAUAAGGAGACUGCCGGUGAUAAACCGGAGGAAGGCGGGGACGACGUCAAGUCAUCAUGGCCCUUACGACCAGGGCUACACACGUGCUACAAUGGGAAGGACAAAGAGCCGCGAAGCCGCGAGGUGUAGCUAAUCUCAUAAACCUUUUCGUAGUCCGGAUUGGAGUCUGCAACUCGACUCCAUGAAGUCGGAAUCGCUAGUAAUCGUAGAUCAGAAUGCUACGGUGAAUACGUUCCCGGGUCU